GCCUAGUUUGACAUCCCAUGCUAUGCAACUGAUUAAAGCUUUAUGCAGCAGUAAGUCUAUCUCCCAAGGGAAACUUGCGAGUACAGAUGGGGAGAAGUGGGUCUCAAUUCCUUGUUCCCUCCCACUCGCUAAACCUCACCUCAAAAAACAAAGGAAAAAAAGUCUGUGUCUUUGUUCCUGGGAGCACAUCUCUGCUCACUUUCAGUCCGACAAAAUACAGCGCCACUCUCAAAAGCGAGUCUUCUCGUCUUGCAUUUCCUGCACUCCUACAUUGUUUGCGGUGCUCUAUCUGUGUGAGAGCAGCCGGAGCAGGGAAUCUGCCCUCAGAACAUGACUGCUCCUCAGUAGGCGGAGUGUGGGUGAAGGUGCACGGCAUCUGCUUUAGACCACGGCCUGAGGCAGAGCAACCGUGGUUUGCAUUUAAAGACGCUAGCAUUCUUUAGCAUCGUUGCUUCCAUGUUGCAGAAGUGAACGACAAAAUAAAAAAGGCUUUGACUAAUUUGUUCGCAAGCGAUGGUGUUAAAAAUGUUUCACCCUAUUUCUAAAAAUAAAAUGAUUCGUAAAUAGAUGCUAUUUAAAACGGAAUAUAUUGAUUCAAUGAGUGCUCAGUGGUUGUUUGCAAUGCAUCUUUUAUUUUAAUUUUAUAUUGUUAAUCACAAAAUUUUAGUGCUGCUUAUCUUACAUGAGAAAAGUUGGUUUGGGUAGAGGCGGUUACAAAAAAAAAAAAAACACCUGAUUCAACUAAUCACAGCCUUGAUUGAUGACUAUGAUUGGUUAAUUAGUUGAAUCGGGUGUAGUAGUGCUCUGCUACAACACAACCCUGCACACAUGCUGGUCCUUCUCAGAUAAGACUGGGGACCUCUGACUUGAGAAUGAGAAAACGACUCAAAUUAAAUUAAUAUUAUU